rnacentral:rRNA from 1 species
UACGUAGGGUGCGAGCGUUUAAUCGGAAUUACUGGGCGUAAAGCGUGCGCAGGCGGUUUUGUAAGACCGAUGUGAAAUCCCCGGGCUCAACCUGGGAACUGCAUUGGUGACUGCAAGGCUUGAGUGUGUCAGAGGGAGGUGGAAUUCCGCGUGUAGCAGUGAAAUGCGUAGAGAUGUGGAGGAACACCGAUGGCGAAGGCAGCCCCCUGGGCCAAUACUGACGCUCAUGCACGAAAGCGUGGGGAGCAAACAGG